UACGGAGGGUGCAAGCGUUAUCCGGAUUCACUGGGUUUAAAGGGUGCGUAGGUGGGCUAGUAAGUCCGUGGUGAAAUCUCCAAGCUUAACUUGGAAACUGCCGUGGAUACUAUUAGUCUUGAAUGUUGUGGAGGUAAGCGGAAUAUGUCAUGUAGCGGUGAAAUGCUUAGAUAUGACAUAGAACACCGAUAGCGAAGGCAGCUUGCUACACAAUUAUUGACACUGAGGCACGAAAGCGUGGGGGAUCAAACAGG
rnacentral:rRNA from 1 species